rnacentral:tRNA from 1 species
GGGCGUUUAUGCAAGAAGUUAAAGCAGGCGGUCUGUAAAACCGUUCCGAAAGGUUCCUUGGUGCAAAUCCAAGAGCGCCCA